rnacentral:tRNA from 1 species
GAUCGUGUGGCCUAGUGGUUAGGGCAUGUCCUUUACAGUGAACGCCUACAAGCGUUGCAAAUGCUGAUCGGAUGGGAUCGCAGGUUCGACCCCUGCCACGAUCA